rnacentral:rRNA from 1 species
UAACUUAGGGAGAAGGGGUGCCUACGAGAGUAGGCCGCAGUGAAUAGGCUCAAGCAACUGUUUAUCAAAAACACAGGUCUCUGCUAAAGCGUAAGCUGAUGUAUAGGGGCUGACGCCUGCCCGGUGCUGGAAGGUUAAGGGGAAUAGUUAGCGCAAGCGAAGCUAUGAACUUAAGCCCCAGUAAACGGCGGCCGUAACUAUAACGGUCCUAAGGUAGCGAAAUUCCUUGUCGGGUAAGUUCCGACCCGCACGAAUGGCGUAAUGAUUUGAGCACUGUCUCGGCAAUAAAUCCGGUGAAAUUGUAGUGCAAGUGAAGAUGCUUGCUACCCGCGGUUGGACGGAAAGACCCCGUAGAGCUUUACUGUAGCUUAGCAUUGAAUUUCGGUAUUGUCUGUACAGGAUAGGUGGGAGACUUAGAAGCGAGGGCGUCAGCUUUCGUGGAGUCGUCCUUGGGAUACCACCCUGACAGUACUGGAAUUCUAACUGGAGGCCAUGAAUCUGGUCACAGGACAUUGCUAGGUGGGCAGUUUGACUGGGGCGGUCGCCUCCUAAAAGGUAACGGAGGCGCCCAAAGGUUCCCUCAGCGCGGUCGGAAAUCGCGCGUAGAGUGCAAAGGCAGAAGGGAGCCUGACUGCGACACAUACAGGUGGAGCAGGGACGAAAGUCGGGCUUAGUGAUCCGGUGGUGCUGUAUGGAAGGGCCAUCGCUCAACGGAUAAAAGCUACCUCGGGGAUAACAGGCUGAUCUCCCCCAAGAGUCCACAUCGACGGGGAGGUUUGGCACCUCGAUGUCGGCUCGUCGCAUCCUGGGGCUGUAGUCGGUCCCAAGGGUUGGGCUGUUCGCCCAUUAAAGCGGCACGCGAGCUGGGUUCAGAACG